rnacentral:lncRNA from 1 species
AUUACAAAGCACUUUCCACAGGGAACAGAUUUCCAGUCAGCAUCCCACAAGGCCAUUAAGGAGCAGGUUCAGAAGGCUCCUUUUUCAAAAAAGAAUCCUGUUCCAGGCAGAGUAUAGCUGCUACUUGGGCUUUGAUCAUAAGGGAUCUGACCUCAGUUUCUCCUUAGGAAGCAACAAAAUGUCCCUACAUUUAUAUACCCUGGACCAUUCUGUUUGGCAAAUGCAGUGGCUUUGCUUAGAUUCAGAUUUUUUUUUUUUUUGCUAUGAUUUCUUCUUUUCAGAAAAUUUAACUGUGAUUUAUAUAAUUCCCUUCCAGAAGACCUGGAUUCAAGCCGUAGGAUGGGAGUGGACAGCUGGUGUGACUCUUCCUUGCCUUAUAGAAGCGGUCACUUGCUACUUCUACUCCUCACCACAUGGACCACCUCCCACUCUCCAGGACCUCCGGUUUUCCCAUUUCACACCUCUCCAGCUUUUUCCCCAGGUAAUUCUCUCUAUUGAAAUUCUAUUGAAAAACCUCAAAUAUCUUAAAUGCCUAUUAGGGAGAGGGGAAUGGAGAGCAAGGGGGAAUAUUACAAUCAGAAUACUACCACUUUGCAAGUCCUAAACAAGAGCUUCAGAGAAAGAGGGAUGACAAAGGCAGAGUAGGAAAAGAUUGAUGUGGCAAUUGUGUUCACUUUGGUCCAUUAGGGGAAGAGGGAAAUCUGUAGACAAUGCUGAGGUACCAUUCAUUUCCACACUGUAGACAAUGCUGAGGUACCGUUCAUUUCCACAGUAAAUCUUUUGGCUGUGCAAGGUAGAUAUGUAUUUAAUCAUAUGUUUAUUUUACUUAGUGCUUUAUAAGGCAUUUUGGUAUUAUAAUAAUGAAAAUUCGUUUGUGCCGGCACUUUCUUGGAAAAGAGUUUAAAGUACCUUCAGAGAUGCAUAAAAUGUAACAAUAUGUUCUGUACUUUAAAACAGCCAAACAUAUCUGGCAAAAUAAUACAUGCAAUCCUCUUUGAUUGAGGAAAGCCACUUCUAGAAACUUAUACUUAAGAUAUACUGGCGAAC